AGUUCAGUAAAACACUUAGACGACUGGGAGAGUUGUGCCCCGCCCGGGCUGCGCCGCCUUCCCGGGGGCUCGCCAGGGAAGAUUCCGGCCCUGCGCACGCGAGCCAGGGCAGCCGUGGGCCACGCGGCGCGUGUGCGUGGCAGCGCGUGAGUGUGGAGCGCGCGUGGCGGGCAUCAGAACUCCAGGGGAAAAGCCAAGCCAACUGAAAGCCAGGGAACAUAGCAGCCAGCACCAGAGAGCACAAGUUCCCCACCAUAGCUCUGCAGCUCAAGAGGAAAAAGGAAAAAGGAGAUGACGGAUGGUAAUUAAACUGAUGCGGGUGACCAUUCCCCAAGAUGUGGAGGUCAAGUCACUAUGCAGUAGGUUGUGAACUGACAUUGCAUUGUCGCUUCUAUCUCAAUAAAACUGGAAAAAAAAAAAGCAACCCAAAAAACAAAAAAACAAGCUAAACUACACCCAAAAUUCCCCAGGAGGGAAGAACAAAAUUAGCGAGUUGAUGUCUGCCCUUUCCGAUGGCCAGUGACGUGGAAAACGACUGGAGGAACAUUUUAUACAAAGCAGACCACAACUGAACUUCCAAAAUCAGGAGCUGUGGAUGGAAACCUUGGGAGGCUGUUUUGUCUGGGAAGCUUCCCCUAUAUUUGGUACAAUCGUAUUGACUCAAGGAGCAAUACUGGAGCCUGGAACUGUUCAGUCAGCAUUUUAAACUAUUAUGAGCUACCUUCUGAACCAUUGCCAAGUUAAUAGACAAUGAAAGAUAAUGAGCUUGAAAUUGGGUGUUAAAUUGCAUUUUUGGUUCUCUCCCUUUUUCUAGAAGUUUAACCGUUUCCUGCAGAAACAAAGUCCUGUUUUGAUGUAUCACUAUGUAAAUAUGUAUUUUAGGCCAUGAAGAAGAAAAGGAGAGGAAAAAAGGGGAAGCACACUGUAUUUCAUGUAGGAAGGUUAUACAUAACAUGGGAAAAUUAAAAUACACUGGAUUAUAAAACUGCUAGAUUGUAAAGUAUACUGAAUUUAUGUAAAAUGAAGAUGCUACAUUCAAAGAAUAUAAAAAGGUAUAUUACUCAUGGCCUAGAGCCACCUUCCAAAGUCGUAAAGCAGAUUUAUCCCAGUUCAAUUACUUAGACUUCAAGCAGGGCCUCUUUGUGUUGUGAUUUCAACAAUGUAAAAUUCUUGAUUCAAACAAGAGAAAAGAGAUCAUGAAUGAGGGGACUUCAUGAUGAUGCUGUUUCAACCAUUUCUCCCUUUGCCAUUCAAGGGAGGAGACUGGCAGUCUCAUUCUGAACAAACCAAGGAUUUUUAGGUCAUUUGAUUAAACUGGACAAGGGAAACAUUUGGUUCUUGAAAAUCAUCUUCAAAGUAGUCAAAAAAUGAACACCAAACUUCACAAAUGUCAUUCACCUGAAUUUUUGAGGCCUGAAGAUUUCAUUAUGAUGGGAAGAAAGGCUUAUCCUCAUUAGUAUAAUUGUGGAAUCUUUCCUUUACUUCCCUUUAAACUAAUGAGUUACAUUAAUCUAGGUUCAUUUUUAUAAGCCUCUUGGGGCUAAAUGUAAAGGACAGUCAUCUUAGAAAACAAUAAAUUAAAAAAAAAAAAGCAUGUACUGUGCAUUAAGUGCACGUAUUUCAUAAGACCUAGGUUAAUACAACUGGCAUCCAGUUUAAUUAAUCCUUGUUAGUGUAACAACUAAUAUCCCUCCCUAGCAUGUUUCCUUUAAACAUUAGUAUGUUAAUUAAAUGUUUUUUUUUAAAGAUUUUUCUUUGUACUUCAAUAUGGCAUUUAUACCACGUAAAUCUCUCCUCAAUAUCUACCUUAUAAAGAUGUUUUCUUACAAUAUCUGGUCUCUUGCAGAAAUUCUGGAGCCUUUUUGAAAGCUGUUCAGGUGUAGAAUACAGAUAUUCAGCUGCAGGAAAAACAGAUACAUUUUUAAUGAAACAAAAACCUCAAAGCACACACUCGAUAUUAGUCACUUUACUAAUUAAAAAUGCAUAUUGCUCUGUGCUGCCUCGUGUUUUACAUUAUUUAAGCAUGAUUUUAUAAGGUUACCUCAGCUCACAAGGAUGUUUAAUGCUAAAUAAGACUGUGUAGUUGUGCUGUUUAGACAUCUCCUUUGGGUGAUUAAAAUACAUUAUUCUAAUGUAACACAAUGCAUAUGUGAUGUAUUUAGUGAUGAGAAUUUUUUUCAAAGAACUGGUACUAUAGCCGUAUGUACCCUGUAACAACAGUUGCAUAUUAUUAACUAGUCAAUUGUUUAAAUAAUUUGGUGUGACUUCCAGUCCUUGAUUUUUCUCUGUGUAUAUCAUUAAAAAAAAAUCUGUAAGCAAUUGCAGCAACACUGACCUGCUUAUAAAAAUCCAUCAUUAUGGGAUGUGUAUGCUAACAAUGAAGAAUGCUAUUUGAAAACUUGCUUUUUUGUUAUCUUAAAAGAACAGAUGGUAAAUAUAAGCUUACUCUAAUGUAUUAAAACACAUAAAAUUUUCCUUAACACUAACAUGUUGACUUGCCAAAUAAACAAUUGCUCCUGCCUAAGUUUAUUUUCAAACUUU